GGGGACCGAGGCUAUUUUGCUUAAAAAAGAAGAAAAUGUAUCUUUCUGCAACCCAAACCACUGCUUGUAUAUUUUUUGAAGCCUCAUAGUCAAUGUGGGAAGGUACAUUUCCUCAUGUAGGGUAUCAAGAGAGCUAUCAGUUAACACAGAAUUAAGCUUAUUAGAAACUACUUUUCCUCACCCUUCUCUUCCCACUUCUUAUCUUCCCUCCCCUGUGGUACUUUAGUGCCCUGAAGACCAACUGAACUGCAGUGCUGUAGCUGUUUGUACACACUGCAAAUGACCUGGCUUUUUAUCCAGCUGCCAGGAGAAUUUGUACUGACUGCAGGAGGACUGGGGCACGCAGCGUACUUCAUCGUCAAUGGGAAUUCAUGCCUUUCAUAACUCAGCAACAACUAACAGAGCCAGUUAGCCCAAAAUAUUAUUUUCCUGAAACGUCUGCAAACAAAGGGAUGCAUUUUGCAGACAGAAGAAGCUUGUGUGAACUCAUGACUGAAAUGAAACUUGCCCAUUUUGAAUCAUGUUUUCAUGCCUGCAAGCAAGACUCAGAGAUGAUCAUCUACUACAGUGACAAGAACAAUUAUGGAAACAAUUAUCACGGGGAGGAACAGUGAUACUGAGGCCUAAGUUGCUCUGCAUGAGUCUAGUUUUACAGCGGUUAAGCUUCAAUAAAAUCAACCACAGUAACA
ensembl:lncRNA